UUUUAUUCCUAAAUAAGAUAGCUACAAAGAUUUGUUUUUAAAGCUACAUACCGCCCUCACAAUUUGCCCACUAGGAAAUUCCUUGUGGCCCCCAAGAUCUUUACUCUAAAAUGAUUGUGUUGAAUUGGAACCCAGAAAUGUGUUUUGAUAG